AGAGCACCCACUAGUACUACUAGUCCAGCGAGAACACAAGUAAUAAUACAGACUGAUGCUCCUCUGCUCCUUGCCCAGAUCGGCGCCACCGCCAGCGACGGGAAAGAUGCCGCUGCUAGAUCCUCCACGCUCUCUCUCCCCUGACGUGAAUCCCCAUAUUAUCCCCAUGAAUUUCAGCCUCAACUCUCUAAUCCCCCUCUGUGUGUGUGUUCUUUUGGCUUGCAGGUCAAACCCUAUUGGGGAUGUGAUUUCCCUGCUCCAGAUUGAAGUGGUUGGCGUUGGGCGCCGCCGUGAUGCUGGAUGGUGCAGGUCAGAGCUCCAGUGCGUGUCCGUGGAGCAGAUCCACCAUGGGUGCAGGGGAAUGGAAAUGCUACUGAGAAGAAGAAGAGAGCUUGGUCUGGCUAUUUGGAAGCAGAGUGAAGAGUGUGCUACGGUGAAACCUUAGCCAGAACUGAAUGGUCCUUGUCCUGAGCUUGCGGUCUUCAACUUCUAAGAUCUUCAAUGGUCGUUCUUCAUACGUCAGGGUCUUUUGGAGAUGGGUGAUGCCCCACGCAUUAAAACAAUGUUGAACUCUAACUCCCUAUCAGGCGGCAUACCCGGCAGUUCAUCCGGAAAUACAUCAGGAAACUCACAAACUACAGGUCUGCUGAAAAUUUGGUGUUGUGGAUUAUUAUUGGUUGAUUUCUGCGCAUUGCCUCUACUGUAAUCUUCCCUCCAGAUCGGCGCCGCCGCCAGCGACGGGAAAGAUGCCGCUGCUAGAUCCUCCACACACUCUCUCCCCUGACGUGAAUCCCCAUAUUAUCCCCAUGAAUUUCAGCCUCAACUCUCUAAUCCCCCUCUGUGUGUGUGUUCUUUUGGCUUGCAGGUCAAACCCUAUUGGGGAUGUGAUUUCCCUGCUCCAGAUUGAAGUGGUUGGCGUUGGGCGCCGCCGUGAUGCUGGAUGGUGCAGGUCAGAGCUCCAGUGCGUGUCCGUGGAGCAGAUCCACCGUGGGUGCAGGGGAAUGGAAAUGCUACUGAGAAGAAGAAGAGAGCUUGGUCUGGCUAUUUGGAAGCAGAGUGAAGAGUGUGCUACGGUGAAACCUUAGCCAGAGGAGGAAUCGGGUGCGACAGGCGCUGUCCUAUGACAGAACGAUAAAGGCCGCUUUAUUGCUGCACAAUGCAGAUUCAUUCAUGUUUGCAGCAUAUGUAGCGACGGUUGAGGCUAUGGCAAUGCGUGAUGGUUUAAAUUUUGCAAGCACUUUUGGUUUUUGACAGAACUGAAGCGGAGUCCUAUUCCUUGAGUGUGGUGAACUACUGCCAAAGUGCCAAGGGCAAAAUCAGUGGUGGGAUGCAACAGCGGCAAUCUUUGUUGAGUGCAUUGACACGGCAACAUCAAUACGGAAGGUCAUCUUUUCGCGUUGUUUUUCGUGAUGCUAAUUCGAUAGCUCAUGAGCUAGCUAAAUUCAGCUUUUGUAAUAAGUGUGAUGAUAAUUGGAUUAAUGAGGCCCCGGGUUUCCUAAUCAGCCAAUUAAUGAACAAUGUAAUUGUUGUCUUAUUUAAUAGAGCUAGCCAUGGUGGCAUUUCCCCGGAAAAAAGGAGGCUUGAGGGACAACAUUUGGU